ensembl:lncRNA
CUCCCUGAGGUCACUCUGAAGCUGCAUGCUGCCCAAGCACAGCAAAGAUUUUAUUGUUGUUUUUUGUUUUCCCCUCCUUCUCACUGCCUACAGAGCCAAAGGGCCUGUUUGUUUUCCUCUUAGUUAUCAGAAAGGUUUAUUUGCGAUUGCUUGAGAGAGGAAAAAAACCCUCUGUAGCCACAGGCAGACAAGCUCAGUGCUCAGGAACAUAAUGGCUGGAGCCUGCAGGCCCAUAUGCUCGCCAUCCUGUGAGGUGGAAGGCCAGCUCCGAUCAUCUCCAGCUGCUCAGGAUACAAUUGAUCAGCACCUCACCCUACCCUCAGUGUCUUUGUGAAGGACAAUUUUGGAAGAUCACCAGGUUGCACCUUCAAAGACUGGGCCUUUAGUGAUGCUAGGUUUUCUGCAGGCAGUGAUUUUGUAUUUCACAGGAUCUCCUACACACUGCAACCUUUUACAGCCCACUAUCGCUCAAUCCAGAAGCACAGACUGCUAAUAGCAUGAGAUGAAUAAGUGAGUACAUAUCUAUUUUUUAUUACUCAAGCCAUUUCAAGAAUUCUCAGAUAAUUAACUCUGAAUACUUUUUCAUCUGUUUUCCCUCAAAAAUCUUCCCAUUUGACUUAAAACCCUUAUUUGCGGUCCAAGCAGCAGCACACUUAAUCACACUGAACAAGGCACAGCAGCUUUUGAAGAUGCCUUAAAGCAUCUGAAGAAUCUGAAACCAAGGCAUAGGAAAUAGGAUUGCUCUCAUGAAGCCUUUCCUUGCCUCAAAAAGAUAUGUGCCCCCCUCCUAGGCCUUAGUAGAGACAGCAGAGAUCCCAACCCCAGUAGCAGGGGAUGCAGCACCCUUCAGUUUGGGUGUUUCUGCAACACUAUGUCAGCAUAGACAAACACUGACUCAAGGCAACACACUACUGAAUCAAAAUAUUUUUAUUUGAUAAGACAAACUCAACAGCUGUCUAGACUUCAGCUGACCAGACUCACAAUGGAUGUUUCCUUUUCAACUUCCCCUGUUUACCCUCAUCCCUGCAUCCCUGCCAUCAUUCUGUUUGGCGAUGGUGGCCAAAUAUGUUCCCUUCUCCUUGCCUCCAAAUCUCUCCAUUGAACCUUCAGAGGCCCAGUUCUUCUGGAUCAUCUCCCACUGCUUGCUUACAGGGAGCCAAUGCAACAGGACUCUGGACUUCUUUGGGAAAUCCCGCAUGUGGCUUUAAUGAUAAACAAUUAUUUUAGUGGUUUGCUUUCAAGGUGUUGUACAAGUACUUCCCACAACCCACUAAGGAAGUAAAAAGCCUCGUUUCAAUUGGUAAAGGACUUAAAGAAUUCAGUGGGCCUUGCCAAAAUGCCCUUGUCUACCUAUUCUAAUAAAAUAAUCCUGCCCCUGAUCACAGCUACACCCAGCCUGCAAGUUCUCUUGCACAAAGCACACUUGAGAGGUCACAGUGGGAGGUCUAUUCUCACAUCAAAUUAAAGCCAGACAGAAUCAAUUAAAGCAAAAAAGGAUGGGGUCUGCUGAGAUGACAGAAGGCAUUUGGGGCAAAUGCUCACAGCUGAAUGCAGAAGAGAUGCCAUUGCUCAAGCUUUCUUGCUCCUCCAUAGAAGCUGGGGCCCAACAAUAUGUCUCCAGAAGACUGGCAACUGCUGGUUGUAAUAUUUUGCGGUGCCUCAUGAUGCUUAAUAGAAAGAAGAGUAAAGUUUCAGAAGAAUAGAAUAGGAUAUGAAUGGGACAUCAAAAAUCAUCAGAGGAGGGACUUUUAGACACUCCCUUCUGUUAUUCAGAGAUGACUAAUUCCAGUGAGGGCCCUGAAGUAAGAACAGCAAAUUCACAAAAAAUCCCCACCAAACUCACAGAUGGAUUUCAUUCCUCUGUAAGACUCAUUCUCCACAAGAUCUGUGUAUUUACACUUGCUCCUAUAGCCCACCAGAAAUGCUCUCUGAUGACCCAAGGCCAUUCCCCUAGGCUUGCCUGAAGCCAGCCCUGCCUGCAGGGCCUAUGGCAGAGCAUUUCAGCCAACACCCUCAACAACAGUUGCUGGCUUUGUAACUCUAAUUCCCUCCAGGCCAUACCCUUCUCUUCCUCAUCUGGCAUGUUCAGCCUACACGUUCAACUUGUCACCUGCAAGGGAGAUCAGGGGUCAGCUGGGUGCUUGAACAUCUCUCAGCUUGGGGCACUUUGAAUCAAUUCCAACUCUCCCCACUCCCAAGAAAGGUGUUAAUUGGAACAGGAAAAGAACGAGAGAAAUAAAUUUUCUUUAGAGAGAUGCUGACACAGUCCCCAGUUAGUGAAGGAGGAUUUUUCGGUGCUGUUUCCUCCCCUCUUCACUGUAAAUUCUCCAGUGUUCCAAUAACAGCUCCCUAAUCCCCAGACAUCCAGGGGGGUCAAAUGCCUCUGCAUCCUGAGAUCCCUAGCUUCCACUGAGAGCAAGUGAGCAGCAUUAGCUCUUUUGAGUUUGCCUGGCUGGGCUGAUUUGUGGUGUGAACACACACUAAUUAGCCAUUUAACUUAAGAACUAAGACUCCCAGGAGAAAAAGAUUUCAGAGGGGAAUUCGGAGCUCUUCAGGCUGAAAUUAUCAUCAAGUGCCUAAUGUAACUGUUCUGCUUCUCCUUUCCAAGACUUCUUUUCCUCCAUCUGACUAUCUACUAAAACAGGCAGUAUGAAUGCUUCCACGUCUUUACCAAACCACGGGUGGCGUAUCCUCUCUUGAAGUCACUUGGGUAAAUUCACAACACAUUUUUGUCUUCUGGAUUUGAGUAGGGAAAAGGAAGGUGGCUGUUCAAGAGAUAAGCAACAAGAGAUACUUCAUACCUCCUACACAGUGGUUUGCAACUCACAGAAUACAGUUGAAAACUCUAAGCCUACCAGCCUGUAAAGCAAUUCUUAAAGAUGAAAGAUGCUCUGAAAGCUAGACUUGAACUGGAUUGACUUUUAAAUAUGAUCAAAUCUUAGUUUAAAUCUCAAUCCAAGCAUCAAAUCUGAGUCUGAAUUUUAAAACAAGUCUUACGUUAGCUGGACAUUCACAAUUAUUCGAAAGUCUCUUUAAACAACCCCUAUGAAUUGCUAUUGUUGGCCACUUUGCUUAUGUAUAUCCAGAGACUGAAAAGCCUGUAUUUAUGGUAUUACCAAUUCCAGCACUGCCAGGCCAACCAACCUGAACUUAGCACAAUACUUUCCCCAGAUUGUUCCCUUCCUGACAGAAAAGACAAGAGACUGACUUUGUGCAUGGUUUGGAAAGCUUCCAAAUAGUUUAGCAGGGCCCUGUUAAGUGAUUUAAUCCUCUGAAAAGAUGGAAGCUGUGCAAUUUUUGGCUUUACAUAAGAUAAUAGCCCAACUUACUAACUGUAAAAUAAAACUUACUGGGUAGGCUAGUCUACUGGAGGAAGCCUUGGCCUGGGAUUUGGGAGACUUGCAGCAGGAUUCAGAUCACCUGAUCAAGUACCUAAACCAUGACUUUGUUCAAACACCCAGAAUAUCCACUCUCCAGUGUUUCCUAUUUCAGAAGGUCCCAGAUCUCAUCAACGCCUAUUUCAGGAUGCAAUAUCCUCCCCUGCAGCUGUGUAGAAGCCCUUCUAGGUAGGUAAAUUACAGACAUAAUCCCUUUUUCUGUAGCAGUCCAGAUCCUGACAGCCAUCCAAAGUUCCUGACCAGCGAAAGUGCUCUUACAAGGUUCCCAGCUCAGCAGAGGACAACACCAUGAUGCUUAUGGAUGCAUCUGACUCUCAGUUAAUUCUACAAAUUACCUAGGCACCCACAUGCCAUUGUCUUUGGGCAAGCAUCCACAUCAGGUGCCACAAUGCCUAAGGCAGGCAUGUAAACUAGGUAUUACAGUAUGAGAUUGGAUUUCCAAUCCUGAAUUUGAAACUGUCCUGCUAGACGAUUUUUAAGACACUUCACCUCUGAGUGCCUCUCUUUAAAAUGUUAAGACAGGUAACAAUCACAGUGCAUUGGAAGUAAGACAGCAAUUAGUUCUAGGUGCUUGUGAAUAAAACAUGCUUUACUCAAGACAUGAAAAGACUCAAUAAAUGGGUCGCUAAAUGAAUCUGAAGACCUUUGUGAUACUGGAUAAUUUGGCUAAGAUAGGAUAGUAUUAGAAAGUAAAACCAAGCAGAUGUCUUGGUCACUAUUGUGACUCCACAGAACUAAAUUCUUGUUACCAGUAAACAAUAGCCCUUCCACUUCUAACAAGAGAACCUGUCUUUAGUCUGCCACAAAACAAACAAACAAACAAAAAAACCUGUUAAAAUCUUUUUGAUGUUGCUACAAGGAAAGUGUGAAAAACCUGCCAUUAUGACAGCUCUCCCCAUCUCCGGAGCCAAGCUCUACAGACAGCCAAUAUCAUGUGCGUCCACAUGUGACGGAUCUUACUUGGGCAUGAAAUUUUCAUUAGUUCUUGAGCAGUGCACAGAGGCAGGGUUUAACCAAUCUAAUGAGCUAACACAUACCACUGCCUGACUGGUUAUAGCAGCAAAAAAAGCCAAGAAGGGAAUUUGAUUGAUCCUGUAUACCACUCUUGAUAUAUUUUUCCACCUUACGCUACAACAGCAUUACCAGUUCUUCUACAACAGAGAAGAGAAUGCUACAGGCCAGUAACUUGAGAAGAUCUUUGUUUCCCUCUAUAAUUUCUGUAGACACAAUAAAAAUGAUUUUAUCAGUGAGAAGUGACUCCAGUUUGUUCUUCAGUAGAACAACUUCUAGAGGAAGUCCUGAAAACACAAAAAGCAAGGGUGCUUGUUUUUGUUUUCUGAAUAGAAACUGCCAGACAAAUCCUCAAGCUCUCUAAUACAUGUGAAAUCUUAAGUAACAUCAGCAUCUCUUAGAACUCUGAGCUGGAAUCAAAGACCAUAGAAAAGACCUUUCAGAGUGCAGUAAACUGGCAGUUCACUUCAUCUCACAAGGCAACCUAUUCCUCCUCUUCAGUAUGAUGCCCACAGGAGCUGAACUCUGAGCAGAACCCAUUAAAACUAAGUUCUCCCUUCUGUGUGUUCUUACUCCAAGCAUAGCACUACGCAUAACAGAAAAAUGACAGCACCCACUCCCAAGAAAUUAAAUCCCUGGAUAGCCUUUGAAACAUCUGAAUAUCAUAUUAAUGUAAGAAGGCUUAUACUCCUAGCCCCCGGUCCCCCAGUAUUACCAAGAAGGUACUAACAGCAGACAAUACAAGCACAGAACACUUUUUCAAGCUCCUCUUGCAUCAUAGCUCUGGACACCAGAAAAUUCCUGUAGUUUUCUGAGAAAGAAAAUAUUCACAUCUCAAUGAAAGGAAAAAUAAAGUCACCAUCACCUCAAGAUGGGAAGAAUUUCAGGUGACAUAAGAAUAAAAGUAACCCAUAGAUUGAAAAAGAGCAAGUUUGGCCUCAAUAACAUUUGAACAAAACAUUUGUACUUGAAAUAUCCAAACCAGGGGUAUGUUUCCCAGCAAGGAAUCCUGCCACUGAUACAUAUAGGUCCAGGGCUUUCUCCUCUAAAGACCGAGAUAACAUUCAGAAGAUGAUCCAAUAUACAACAGUCCAGUUUCACUGCACGUCUUCACACAGCUGGACCAACAGCCCACUCAGAGGCAAAUCACAGAAAGAAAGGCUGUGAGCUCUGUGAGUACUAAUGGAGGCUCUUUACAGCUCCUCGCAGAGCACUCACUUUCAUGCUGACAAGCACUGUCUGCGAUCCGCAGGAGCGAC